CUCUCCCUCCAUUCGGAGUGACCUCAUUAUGGCAUGCGUUUUCAGUAAUGAAAAGGUGUGAAGCCCAUAAGAC
rnacentral:misc_RNA from 1 species